rnacentral:rRNA from 1 species
GCGGCAACAGCUCAAAUUUGAAAUCUGGCCCUUGGGUCCGAAUUGUAAUUUGUAGAGGAUGAUUUUGGUGCGGUAUCUUCCGAGUUCCUUGGAACAGGACGCCUUAGAGGGUGAGAGCCCCGUACGGUUGAAUGCCUAGCCUCUGUAAAUCUCCUUCGACGAGUCGAGUAGUUUGGGAAUGCUGCUCUAAAUGGGAGGUAAAUUUCUUCUAAAGCUAAAUAUUGGCCAGAGACCGAUAGCGCACAAGUAGAGUGAUCGAAAGAUGAAAAGCACUUUGAAAAGAGGGUUAAAUAGCACGUGAAAUUGUUGAAAGGGAAGGAUUUGUGACCAGACUUUUUCUGGGCGGAUCAUCCGGGGUUCUCUCCGGUGCACUUCGCCCAGUAAAGGCCAGCAUCGGUUUUCGGCGUGGGAUAAAAGCAGUAGGAAUGUGGCUCUCUACGGGGAGUGUUAUAGCCUACUGUAUAAUACCGCGCUGGGGACCGAGGUUCGCGCUUCUGCAAGGAUGCUGGCGUAAUGGUUAUCAAUCACCCGUCUUGAAACACGGACCAAGGAGUCGAACAUUUGUGCAAGUGUUUGGGUGUUAAACCCUCACGCGUAAUGAAAGUGAACGGAGGUGAGAGCCCUUACGGGUGCAUCAUCGACCGAUCCUGAAGUUUUCGGAUGGAUUUGAGUAAGAGCAUAACUGUUCGGACCCGAAAGAUGGUGAACUAUGCGUGGAUAGGGUGAAGCCAGAGGAAACUCUGGUGGAGGCUCGCAGCGGUUCUGACGUGCAAAUCGAUCGUCAAAUCUGCGCAUGGGGGCGAAAGACUAAUC